GGUCAAGAGAGCCUCCCCUCCCCACCAUUCCCAGAAAAGGAGGAAGGGGCUGAUGGACUCUCUGGGAACCCCCUCCCCUCCCUGCGCCCCGUCAUCAAGAAGAAAAUUCGAAGAAAAGGUUUAGCAGGGACAGAGAAGCGACCUGUCCCGGAAACCCCUUAAAGCCUGCGAGUCAGUUCAAACUGGAAUCUGUCAGGCCCGUCCCGCUCGGGGUUGGUGAGGUCUGAGGGACUUCGGGGGAUCUUGCUCUGGUACCACUCUCGAUUGUCCUCCAGCGUGUCCAGCAGGUCCUGUGCAUCUGGGUGGACCAGGUC
rnacentral:lncRNA from 1 species